rnacentral:rRNA from 1 species
UACGUAGGGGGCUAGCGUUGUCCGGAUUUAUUGGGCGUAAAGAGCGCGUAGGCGGCCGAGUAAGUCCGACGUGAAAUCUGGAGGCUCAACCUCCAGCGGUCGUUGGAAACUACUCGGCUAGAGUCCGGAAGAGGAGAGUGGAAUUCCUGGUGUAGCGGUGAAAUGCGCAGAUAUCAGGAAGAACACCGAUGGCGAAAGCAGCUCUCUGGGAGGGUACUGACGCUGAGGCGCGAAAGCGUGGGAGCGAACAGG